rnacentral:rRNA from 1 species
ACUGUCAGCUCAAGCCGAUGGAAGUUUGAGGCAAUAACAGGUCUGUGAUGCCCUUAGAUGUCCUGGGCUGCACGCGCGCUACACUGACAGAGCCAACGAGUUCAUUCCUUAAUCGAAAGAUUUGGGUAAUCUUGUUAAACUCUGUCGUGCUGGGGAUAGGGCAUUGCAAUUAUUGCGCCUUCAACGAGGAAUGCCUAGUAAGCGCAUGUCAUCAGCAUGCGUUGAUUACGUCCCUGCCCUUUGUA